UACGUAAGGUGCAAGCGUUGUCCGGAAUUAUUGGGCGUAAAGAGCUUGUAGGCGGUUUGUCGCGUCUGCUGUGAAAUUUCGGGGCUCAACCCCGAACUUGCAGUGGGUACGGGCAGACUAGAGUGUGGUAGGGGAGACUGGAAUUCCUGGUGUAGCGGUGAAAUGCGCAGAUAUCAGGAGGAACACCGGUGGCGAAGGCGGAUCUCUGGGCCGUAACUGACGCUGAGGAGCGAAAGCAUGGGGAGCGAACAGG
rnacentral:rRNA from 1 species